UACAGGGGGUGCAAACGUUGCUCGGAAUCAUUGGGCGUAAAGCGCACGUAGGCGGUUCGUUAUGUCGGAUGUGAAAGCCCUUGGCUUAACCGAGGAAGUGCAUCCGAAACUGGCGAGCUAGAGUACUAAAGAGGAUCGCGGAAUUCCUGGUGUAGCGGUGAAAUGCGCAGAUAUCAGGAGGAACACCGGUGGCGAAGGCGGGUCUCUGGGCAGUAACUGACGCUGAGGAGCGAAAGCGUGGGGAGCGAACAGG
rnacentral:rRNA from 1 species